UCUCCGUUGGUGAACCAGCGGAGGGAUCAUUACCGAGUUUUUCUACUCCUAAACCCCUGUGAACUUAUACCUUUACUGUUGCUUCGGCGGGUUAACGCCCCGGAAGGCCCAAAAAGCCGCCGGAACCAGGCGCCCGCCGGGGGACCCAAACUCUUGUAUUUCUUACUUUGCAUGCCUGAGUGGAAUCAUAAACAAAUGAAUCAAAACUUUCAACAACGGAUCUCUUGGUUCUG
rnacentral:misc_RNA from 1 species